UGUUAGUAUAUAAAUGUUCAUGUUUAAUGUGCAGUAUACUUGGCAGAAAAACUUACACCGUGCUACCACCUCGCGCUCGAAUUAAGAAAAGUACUGACCCGAGACAGAUUGUACGUUCCGCUAUUCUUUGUAACAGAGUGGCAGGUCGUAUUGCUAUCAAAUGGAUGAACGCGCCCAUUCACGAUGGUUCUCAUUGGUGACAACCUGUUGCUGCAAUGGCGUAAUCAAAAUUUUGUGGAUAUAAUUUGUAAUGUUUGUGUCUAAUAUUUCAUAGAUAUAUAUUCUGAUAGAAUUUUCUUUUCUAA